rnacentral:rRNA from 1 species
AACGAACGCUGGCGGCAGGCUUAACACAUGCAAGUCGAGCGCCCCGCAAGGGGAGCGGCAGACGGGUGAGUAACGCGUGGGAAUCUACCCAUCACUACGGAACAACUCCGGGAAACUGGAGCUAAUACCGUAUACGUCCUUCGGGAGAAAGAUUUAUCGGUGAUGGAUGAGCCCGCGUUGGAUUAGCUAGUUGGUGGGGUAAUGGCCUACCAAGGCGACGAUCCAUAGCUGGUCUGAGAGGAUGAUCAGCCACACUGGGACUGAGACACGGCCCAGACUCCUACGGGAGGCAGCAGUGGGGAAUAUUGGACAGUGGGCGAAAGCCUGAUCCAGCCACGCCGCGUGAGUGAUGACGGCCCUAGGGUUGUAAAGCUCUUUCGCAGGUGAAGAUAAUGACGGUAACCUGAGAAGAAGCCCCGGCUAACUUCGUGCCAGCCGCCGCGGUAACAC